UUGGCCACUUACUUCUCCAGGGUGAGAGGGGGGAAGGCAAGCUGUUCCCCCAGCCAUGGCUGCCCAUCAGCCCGUUUCGGGCAGCACUGGACAUGAGGAACCAGACACAGGUGGGUUCUGACACUCACCCUGCUCUGUCUCUCUCACCAGCUUGGAGAGUUUAGCCCGGAUGACAGGUGUGAUGACUAAUGACAGGAAAAGCAACCCAUAUCCUGUGGAGAAACAAACACUCAUCAGGAAAAUGGGGCUGGGGAGAGGGGCGUCCAAGGGAAAGGCAGCAGAGCUCCUAUCCAUACCCCACGUGGGGCUUAGGUUAGACCCAGGAAGAACUUCCUUGAUGGUGAGGGUGGGAAGACAGUAGUCAAGGAGGAAUGGAGACUGCCCUUGUCUGGGCUUGGCCACCUGCUAGCUCUCAUGAAUGAAUGCUAAUUCCCAUUGAUUGCUUUCUUGUCUGAACCUCUUGUGGUCACAGCAGGCAUCACCCACCCACUUGGCACUUAGUAGGGAUAUGGCAGGGCACAGAAAACAAGCAUGGGCUUUGGAGUCAGCCCUGAGUUCAAAACCUGAUGCCAUUACAUAUUAUCUGUGUGGCCUGGGGUACUUACCCUCUCUGAUCCUGACUCCCUGUAUGAGGAAGAUAAUAAGGCCUUCAUCACAGGAUGGUUCUGAGGCAUAGGAGGCUGAAUAAUGGUGCCCAAUGGCAUCAGAUUCAUAGCCCUGGAACCUGUAAAUACUACCUUAUUUGGAAAAUGAGUCUAUGCAGGUGUGCAGUUAAGCCUCCUGAGAGAGCAGAGUUAUCCUGGAUUAGGUUGGGCCCUAAAUGCCGUCACACAUAUCUUUAUAAGAGGAAAGCAGACGGAGAUUUGGCACCGACAGAAUUGAGAAGGCACAAAGAGGAGGAGAGUCAAUGUGAGCACAGAGGCAGAGACUGGUGAUGGCCGCCCCAAGCCAAGGAAUGCCAGCAGCCCCAGAAGCUGGAAGAAAUGAGAAACACGUUCUCUCCUGGAGGCUUGCAAGGGAGCACUGCCUGCUGACUGCUUCCAUUCAGCCCGGUGGUACUGACUUUGGACUUCUGGCCUCCAGAACUGUGAGAGAAUAUGUUUCUGUUGUGUUAAGCCCCCAAGUUUGUGGUAUGUCAUUACAGCAAUCUCAGGGAACCAAUACAUGAGGUAAAAAGGUAACAUCUAUGAAGAGCAUGGCAUAGGGACACAGCAAAUGGGAGUUCCUUUUCCCUUUGCAUUCAGUUACUUACAGGCUUCCUGUUUUCUUCAUAACCAUUUCUCUCCCUGUGCGACUGCUGACUCCUCAGCAAAACUGCAAACUCCUACAGGACAGUGGAUCCUCCAAAGAAGGUAUACGAUGAGGCAUCCAGGGACCCUAGCAGUGUCAGGCCCCUCAAAUCCCACUCUGUUGAGACCUCCCCCCGACCCAGAGCAAUGACAGCAUCUUUAUCAUCUCUGCAUCCCCCAGGGCCAUCAGCAGGAGGGAAAGGUUCCCUUCUGCUUAAUUGUCAGACAAGCAGUUGAGUUAAGAAAUCUGUGAUUAUUGUAUUGUUGACUAUACACAGCACAUUUUAGGGCUCUAUCAAAAUAAAUCUGUCCCUUUAAAAAAAGUUAACUAAAGCCGGGCACGGUGGCUCAUGCCUGUAAUCCCAACACUUUGGGAGGCUGAGGCAGGCGGAUCCUUGAGCUCAGGAGUUAGAGACCUGGACUGGGCAAAAUGGUGAGGACCCCAUCUCUAUAAAAAAUACAAAAAUUAGCAAGGUGUGGUAAUGUGCACCAGUGGUCCCAGCUACUAGAGAGGCCAAGGUGGGAGGAUCAUCUGGGCCCGGGGGAUGAGGCUGCAGUGAGCCAUGAUCGUGCCACUGCACUCUAGCCUGGGUAACAAAGCGAGACCCUGUCUCUAAAUACAUCAAUCAAAUAAAAAUUUUAAAAAGUUAA
rnacentral:lncRNA from 10 species